AACGAACGCUGGCGGCAGGCCUAACACAUGCAAGUCGAACGCCCCGCAAGGGGAGUGGCAGACGGGUGAGUAACGCGUGGGAACCUUCCUAAAGGUACGGAAUAACUUCGGGAAACUGGAGCUAAUACCGUAUGUGCCCGAGAGGGGAAAGAUUUAUCGCCUUUAGAUGGGCCCGCGUUGGAUUAGCUAGUUGGUGAGGUAAUGGCUCACCAAGGCGACGAUCCAUAGCUGGUUUGAGAGGAUGACCAGCCACACUGGGACUGAGACACGGCCCAGACUCCUACGGGAGGCAGCAGUGGGGAAUCUUGGACAAUGGGGGCAACCCUGAUCCCGCCAUGCCGCGUGAGUGAUGAAGGUCUUAGGAUUGUAAAAUUCUUUUACCAGGGACGAUAAUGACGGUACCUGGAGAAAAAGCCCCGGCUAACUUCGUGCCAGCAGCCGCCGUAAUAC
rnacentral:rRNA from 1 species